AGCGAACGCUGGCGGCAGGCUUAACACAUGCAAGUCGAGCGGAUGUAGCAAUACAUCAGCGGCAGACGGGAGAGUAACACGUGGGAACGUACCCUUCAGUUCGGAACAACCCAGGGAAACUUGGGCUAAUACCGGAUACGUCCGUAAGGAGAAAGAUUUAUCGCUGAAGGAUCGGCCCGCGUCUGAUUAGCUAGUUGGUGAGGUAACGGCUCACCAAGGCGACGAUCAGUAGCUGGUCUGAGAGGAUG
rnacentral:rRNA from 1 species